UUUAUGGAGAGUUUGAUCCUGGCUCAGGAUGAACGCUGGCGGCGUGCCUAAUACAUGCAAGUCGAGCGAACGGACGAGAAGCUUGCUUCUCUGAUGUUAGCGGCGGACGGGUGAGUAACACGUGGAUAACCUACCUAUAAGACUGGGAUAACUUCGGGAAACCGGAGCUAAUACCGGAUAAUAUUUUGAACCGCAUGGUUCAAAAGUGAAAGACGGUCUUGCUGUCACUUAUAGAUGGAUCCGCGCUGCAUUAGCUAGUUGGUAAGGUAACGGCUUACCAAGGCAACGAUGCAUAGCCGACCUGAGAGGGUGAUCGGCCACACUGGAACUGAGACACGGUCCAGACUCCUACGGGAGGCAGCAGUAGGGAAUCUUCCGCAAUGGGCGAAAGCCUGACGGAGCAACGCCGCGUGAGUGAUGAAGGUCUUCGGAUCGUAAAACUCUGUUAUUAGGGAAGAACAUAUGUGUAAGUAACUGUGCACAUCUUGACGGUACCUAAUCAGAAAGCCACGGCUAACUACGUGCCAGCAGCCGCGGUAAUACGUAGGUGGCAAGCGUUAUCCGGAAUUAUUGGGCGUAAAGCGCGCGUAGGCGGUUUUUUAAGUCUGAUGUGAAAGCCCACGGCUCAACCGUGGAGGGUCAUUGGAAACUGGAAAACUUGAGUGCAGAAGAGGAAAGUGGAAUUCCAUGUGUAGCGGUGAAAUGCGCAGAGAUAUGGAGGAACACCAGUGGCGAAGGCGACUUUCUGGUCUGUAACUGACGCUGAUGUGCGAAAGCGUGGGGAUCAAACAGGAUUAGAUACCCUGGUAGUCCACGCCGUAAACGAUGAGUGCUAAGUGUUAGGGGUUUCCGCCCUUAGUGCUGCAGCUAACGCAUUAAGCACUCCGCCUGGGGAGUACGACCGCAAGGUUGAAACUCAAAGGAAUUGACGGGGACCCGCACAAGCGGUGGAGCAUGUGGUUUAAUUCGAAGCAACGCGAAGAACCUUACCAAAUCUUGACAUCCUUUGACAACUCUAGAGAUAGAGCCUUCCCCUUCGGGGGACAAAGUGACAGGUGGUGCAUGGUUGUCGUCAGCUCGUGUCGUGAGAUGUUGGGUUAAGUCCCGCAACGAGCGCAACCCUUAAGCUUAGUUGCCAUCAUUAAGUUGGGCACUCUAAGUUGACUGCCGGUGACAAACCGGAGGAAGGUGGGGAUGACGUCAAAUCAUCAUGCCCCUUAUGAUUUGGGCUACACACGUGCUACAAUGGACAAUACAAAGGGCAGCGAAACCGCGAGGUCAAGCAAAUCCCAUAAAGUUGUUCUCAGUUCGGAUUGUAGUCUGCAACUCGACUACAUGAAGCUGGAAUCGCUAGUAAUCGUAGAUCAGCAUGCUACGGUGAAUACGUUCCCGGUCUUGUACACACCGCCCGUCACACCACGAGAGUUUGUAACACCCGAAGCCGGUGGAGUAACCUUUUAGGAGCUAGCCGUCGAAGGUGGGACAAAUGAUUGGGGUGAAGUCGUAACAAGGUAGCCGUAUCGGAAGGUGCGGCUGGAUCACCUCCUUUCU
rnacentral:rRNA from 1 species